UGUUAACAGAUUUUAAAAUGCAGAAGGCAGAAAAUUCCUUGAAGUUAGCAUUGCCAGUCUUGCGCUCUCACAGAACAACUGGUCUGUAAACAGUGUACCCAUGUUAAACAGCCAGACAACAGUUCCUGAAGGGCCACACUCUCUUCCAAGUUUGCAGAGAGGAUUUUGCAUGGAAGAGAUCUUUUGUUGGAAAGCAACUAUGCAGUUUAUGCUACCUUUAGGCUGAAAGUCCAGUUGUGGCAUCUAUUACAAAAAAUCAAGAUCUUGCAUCUUUAAUUGGACUGCCACAUAUGUCAAGAGUCCCAACAUCCCAGAGAGUACCUGAUGGGUUAUAAAGGAUGUGAUGUGUUUUGAUACCACUUCCUCUGUUAAAAGACACAAAUGAACAUUUCCUGAUGUUUUGAGGAAUUUUCAACAAGGAGGUGGUCUUGUUUAUAUGUCUUACAGAGUAUCCUAUGUCUUUAAAUGGAAAUUAUGCAUGUUAACUGUUCAUAUGUGUUUGUACUCAAUUACAUGGUUUUGUCCAGACAUUUUACUGUAAAAUCAUAUUUUUCGUAGUUUAAGGAAAACAUGUUGGAUUGUUAGCAUUUGAUUUCUUAAUUAAAUUAGUGCUGAGUAGUUAUAAUUAGAAGUUUUUCUUUUCAUGGAUGACAUGAAUUUGUGGUUCUCUCCAUACCUUGAACAAUGAUAAUUAAGCCCUAGUGAAAAUUAGUUAUUUCAAAACAUGAGACUUAAACUAAUGGAUUUCUCUGAAAAUUUUUACACUUUUAUCCACCAUAUCAAG